rnacentral:rRNA from 1 species
UGGGGAAUAUUGGGCAAUGGGGGAAACCCUGACCCAGCAACGCCGCGUGAGGGAAGAAGGCCCUCGGGUUGUAAACCUCUUUUACCAGGGACGAAGGACGUGACGGUACCUGGAGAAAAAGCAACGGCUAACUACGUGCCAGCAGCCGCGGUAAUACGUAGGUUGCAAGCGUUGUCCGGAUUUACUGGGUGUAAAGGGCGUGUAGGCGGAGAUGCAAGUUGGGAGUGAAAUCUAUGGGCUCAACCCAUAAACUGCUUCCAAAACUGUAUCCCUUGAGUAUC